UCUGCAUUCAGCUCUCUCAGAAUCAGCUGGGAAAUCUUGAUGCACACCUCAGUUCUUGGCAGAUUAGCCAGAUAAACUUUCUGUGUGGUUGAGUUACAACCAACGAGAAUCACAGAAUCAUGGAACCACCAAAUGGUUUGGUUGGAAGGGACCUCAAAGCCCAUCCAGUUCCAACCCCCUUGCCCCUGGCUGGCAGGGCUGCCACCCAGCAGCUCAGGCUGCCCAGGGCCCCCUCCAACCUAUCCUUGAAUGCCUCAGGGAUGGAGCAACCACAGCUUCUCUGGACAACUGUGCCAGGACCUCACUGCCCUCUGAGUAAAGAAUUUCUUCCUAAUAUCUAACCGAAAUCUCCCCUCUUUUAGUUUAAAGCCAUUAUUCCUUGUCCUACCAGUGUCAGAUCACAUAAAAGUUGGCCUCCCUCAUGUUUAUAAGCUCUGGCAAAUCCAUUCCUGUAUUGUCAGGAAAUUCGCAAGCACUCAAGCACUCCCAAGAGCAUGUACGGACACAGACUAUUUGGGACAGGCCACAGGGGCCAAGCAAAGCUCUCUAAAGAUAUUUUUAAUAUGGAAUAUGACAGAAAUGCAUGUGAGAAAGAAGUACCACAGUGAGUUCUGUGUAAGGACAGACAGAAGCUUGCAUGAACUGUCACUGUGACCUUGACCCAAAGACUUUCAGUGGCAGAAAGAUGGACUCAAGAAUUUCCACAGGAAUUUGAAGCAUUAUAGUGAGUGUACUUUCCUUCCGAUAAGUAAAGAAUAACUAAAUCAAUAUCAAAAUGUUGGGGAAUAACCUGGGUUUAGAUGAGACAACGGUCUAGCACAGAGGAUGUGGUUUUCUCUUUUCACAUGGGACUUGCCACAAUUGCCCUUUCCGUUGGCUCCCAGUUGGAGGAUGACAAAUGGCGUGAGUGUGCAGCUGAAGGUCUCAUGGAAAUGUUGGUUAGCACAGAAUUUAUCUUUGUGGCUGCUUAAGGCUGUUUUCCAUCCAAUGCCUUCACAUUUGCUGUCUAACAAUGGGACUAACUCUCGCUGUGUUAUGAGAUAUCUAACAAGAUGGGUUUUUUAUUUCAGUCUGGCCCUUUCUUUUUGGUGCCUUGUUUCUUACAGCUUCCCUCCCUAAUAAGAAACAUCCAAGGUGAAGAUAUUGUCGGAUCAUCCAAAUGGCUACAGUAGAAAAUAGUGCCACACUCCUUUCCCUCCCCCGUUAAUGGCUGUAUUCUCCUGUAUACUCCCAUAUUUACAAUUUUUUCCUGCCUCUUGAUUUCUCCUCUCACUUCCCUGUUUUCACCUCUCACAUAUUCCAUAGUGGCAACGAUACCUUUUCCCAUCGUUUGAGAUAUUGUUUCCUCUGGCUAAGCCUCAAACCCAGCUCAGUGUUUUCUCAACACUUCUGCAUUUUAUUCCUUUGACACAGGCUUGUGCAUGCCAUCCACCACCCCAGUGCAAACUCAUCAAGAGGAAAGCCAGAUCUUUUCCCUUUGGCCUCUUCUGCAUCAUCUAUCACAGCAGACAACUCCAUUUUCUUUCCUUUGCCGUGUAAUCUGGACUCUUUUCUCUCCUUCUGCCACACUAAAUCUUGUCUCAUUAAAUCUUGUCAUUUCUUUUUCAAUAAAAUCAAGAUCUGUCUUUUCACUGCUAUCUCCAGUCUUAAAAUCAGAUUCGUCUUCUAUUCUCACGGCAAUAAAUUCCUGCAAUAGAUAGAUAGCUGGAGUGCUGUUGAAUAUUUCAAUAAGGGAAUAAAUCCUGUUUGUCU
rnacentral:lncRNA from 1 species